AGAAUGAACGUUGGCGGCGUGGAUUAGGCAUGCAAGUCGUACGGGGCCGCAAGGUACCCGUGGCGCAAGGGUGAGUAAGGCGACGGCAACCAACCCCAAGGCCGAGCAUAGCCGCGAGAAAUUGCGGGUAAUUCUCGGCGACGUCGCGAGUCGGCAUCGACUUGCGACCAAAGGUGCGAUUCCGCCUUGGGACGGACCGUCGUGGUAUCAGGUAGUUGGCGGGGUAAUGGCCCACCAAGCCUCUGACGCCUACCGGGCGUGCGAGCGUGGCCCGGCACACUGGGACUGAGACACUGCCCAGACUCCUACGGGAGGCUGCAGUCGAGAAUCUUCGGCAAUGGGCGAAAGCCUGACCGAGCGACGCCGCGUGGGGGACGAAGGCCUUCGGGUUGUAAACCCCUUUCAGCACAGACGAAGCGCAAGUGACGGUAUGUGCAGAAGAAGCACCGGCCAACUACGCGCCAGCAGCCGC
rnacentral:rRNA from 1 species